CCUACGGUUGGCUGCAGUGAGGAAUAUUGCACAAUGGAGGAAACUCUGAUGCAGCAACGCCGCGUGGAGGAUGACGCAUUUCGGUGUGUAAACUCCUUUUAUUAGGGAAGAUUAUGACGGUACCUAAUGAAUAAGCACCGGCUAACUCCGUGCCAGCAGCCGCGGUAAUACGGAGGGUGCAAGCGUUACUCGGAAUCACUGGGCGUAAAGGGUGCGUAGGCUGGCUUUUAAGUCAGUUGUGAAAUCCAAUGGCUUAACCAGUGAACUGCAUUUGAAACUGAGAGCCUAGAGUUCAGAAGGGGCAGAUGGAAUUAGUGGUGUAGGGGUAAAAUCCGUAGAUAUCACUAGGAAUAUCAAAAGCGAAGGCGAUCUGCUGGGAUGAUACUGACGCUGAGGCACGAAAGCGUGGGGAGCAAACAGGAUUAGAUACCCCAGUAGUC
rnacentral:rRNA from 1 species